GCAGUGGUUGUUCAGUAGUAGAAUUCUUGCCUUUCGUGGUGAGGGAGACCUGGGUUUGAUUCCCAGCCAAUGCA
rnacentral:tRNA from 1 species